rnacentral:rRNA from 1 species
GUUGUAUAGUCAAGUAAUUAAGUGCAUGUGGUGGAUGCCUUGGCAGUCAGAGGCGAUGAAAGACGUGAUAGCCUGCGAAAAGCUCCGGGGAGGCGGCAAAUAUCCUUUGAUCCGGAGAUGUCUGAAUGGGGGAACCCACCUACUUUAAGGUAGGUAUUGCAACAUGAAUACAUAGUGUUGCAAGGCGAACGAGGGGAAGUGAAACAUCUCAGUACCCUUAGGAAAAGAAAUCAAUUGAGAUUCCCUCAGUAGCGGCGAGCGAACGGGGAUCAGCCCCUUAAGUUAUGUGUGUUUUAGUGGAACGCUCUGGGAAGUGCGAACGUAGAGGGUGAUAUUCCCGUACACGAAAGGGCACACAUAAUGAUGACGAGUAGGGCGAGGCACGUGAAACCUUGUCUGAAUAUGGGGGGACCAUCCUCCAAGGCUAAAUACUCCUGACUGACCGAUAGUGAACCAGUACCGUGAGGGAAAGGCGAAAAGAACCCCUGUGAGGGGA